rnacentral:rRNA from 1 species
AACGAACGCUGGCGGCAUGCCUAACACAUGCAAGUCGAACGAGAACUUCGGGUCGUCUGCCGCACGCGUGCGUAACGCGUGGGGAACUGCCCUUAGGUUCUGGAUACCUCCCCGGAAGAGUUGCUAAUAUCGGGUAAUGGCUCCGGACGAAAGAUUUAUCGCCUUUGGAUGGGCCCGCGUUGGAUUAGCUAGUUGGUAGGGUAAAAGCCUACCAAGGCGACGAUCCCUAGCUGGUCUGAGAGGAUGAUCAGCCACACUGGGACUGAGACACGGCCCAGACUCCUACGGGAGGCAGCAGUGGGGAAUAUUGGACAAUGGGCGCAAGCCUGAUCCAGCCAUGCCGCGUGAGUGAUGAAGGCCUUAGGGUUGUAAAGCUCUUUUAUCCGGGAUGAUAAUGACAGUACCGGGAGAAUAAGCCCCGGCUAACUCCGUG